ACAUUAACCACUGGGGAGAGAAGCUGCAGAGCACACACUGAAAUGGGGCCUGUGCUGAAUCCCACCAAGGACACAACUGGAUUCUGCACUUGUUUGACCUCAUUCCCACCACUUCUUCAACUUCUCUGGAUUCACUAUAAUGAGCUCAAGGAUCUAUAGCCACAGAUGGCUGUCAGAGCCUGCGCUACAGAGAAGAUAUCCAAAACGCUGGAAGGCAGAAUUAUCACUUUAAGUUUCUUGGAGACAAAUGAGGAACGCAAUGGAACCCAAGUGUGAAGAUGUGCUGACCUCCGGUGCUGUCACUCUCCAGCUGGGACAUGGCAAAAGCCAAGUUACCAUCACUCUAAUGUGCUUGAACUCCCCCCAGAAGCCUUGAGUCCCAUUCUCUCUUGGAAAUAAACCCAUGAUCCAAAUAUUCAA